CUUUUAGUGGCUGACAAAAGCAUUGGUCUCUUAAACCAAAAAAUGAUCUUAUCCUAAAAG
rnacentral:tRNA from 1 species